rnacentral:rRNA from 1 species
AGAGUUUGAUCAUGGCUCAGAUUGAACGCUGGCGGUAGGCUUAACACAUGCAAGUCGUGCGAGAAAGUAUCUUCGGAUAUGAGUAGAGCGGCGGACGGGUGAGUAACGCGUAGGAAUCUACCUAGUAGAAGGGGAUAGCCCGGGGAAACCCGGAUUAAUACCGUAUACCUCCUUCGGGAGAAAGAAGGCCUCUCUUUGAAGCUUUCGCUACUAGAUGAGCCUGCGUAAGAUUAGCUUGUUGGUGAGGUAAAGGCUCACCAAGGCGACGAUCUUUAGCUGGUCUGAGAGGACGAUCAGCCACAUUGGGACUGAGACACGGCCCAGACUCCUACGGGAGGCAGCAGUGGGGAAUAUUGGACAAUGGGCGCAAGCCUGAUCCAGCCAUACCGCGUGUGUGAAGAAGGCCUUCGGGUUGUAAAGCACUUUAAGCAGGGAGAAAAAGUUAUAAGUUAAUAACUUAUAACCCUGAUGUACCUGCAGAAUAAGC